rnacentral:lncRNA from 1 species
UGAGCUUUUAUGUGCUGAGGACUUCAAAAUGACUAUGAGCUGCUGAAAUGGAUUCCUUUUCCCUCUUUCUCUAACCACAGGAAGGCAGUUAGGAGGGAAGGUUUCAGAAACCCUCCGAUCUAUUUUUAACUCAUAUAAUGGCUUUUAUGCUCUAAUGGACAGCAGGUGGCACUGGCAAGCAAGACAGAGUGAGCUAUGAUCCAAUAACCUGAGUGACCUGUCUGUGCAUAUGCUGAGAGGAGCUCAUUUCCUCCUUCCCUCCCAGGUAUAGCUUUCUUUUUUCAGUGAUUCAUUCUCCCUCUCUACACAAGCAUAUGACCUUCCUCUCAAGCUCAGCACAGGACUUACCAUUGCCUCCCUUGGAAAAGGGAAAAUAAAUUGCUGCCACAUCUCUUAAC